GUCUUUGCAGUAAUGCAAGGCAUACGGCUCAGUAACACGUAGUCAACUUACCCUAUGGACGAGGAUAAUCUCGGGAAACUGAGCAUAAUACUCGAUAGAUCAUAAUGCCUGGAAUGGUUUAUGGUUAAAAUGAUUCGUCGCCAUAGGAUGGGACUGCGGCCUAUCAGCUUGUCGGUGAGGUAAUGGCCCACCAAGGCGAUUACAGGUACGGGCUCUGAGAGGAGAAGCCCGGAGAUGGGUACUGAGACACGGACCCAGGCCCUAUGGGGCGCAGCAGGCGAGAAAACUUUGCAAUGUGCGAAAGCACGACAAGGUUAAUCCGAGUGAUUUCUGCUAAAGAAAUCUUUUGCCAAUCAUAAAACCACUGGUGAAUAAGGGGUGGGCAAGUUCUGGUGUCAGCCGCCGCGGUAAAACCAGCACCUCAAGUGGUCAGGAUGAUUAUUGGGCCUAAAGCAUCCGUAGCCGGCUUUGUAAGUUUUCGGUUAAAUCCAUGUGCUCAACGCAUGGGCUGCCGAAAAUACUGCAUGGCUAGGGAGUGGGAGAGGUAGACGGUACUCAGUAGGAAGGGGUAAAAUCCUUUGAUCUAUUGAUGACCACCUGUGGCGAAGGCGGUCUACCAGAACACGUUCGACGGUGAGGGAUGAAAGCUGGGGGAGCAAACCGGAUUAGAUACCCGGGUAGUCCCAGCUGUAAACGAUGCAGACUCGAUGAUGCAUUGGCAUAAUA
rnacentral:rRNA from 1 species